CUGUGCUGUGUAAUGGGAAGCAGUGAUGCUGUGUGUGAAGACUCAUCUGGGUUGGUCACUGAUGAAGAAAACCUUCUCAGCUGCCAAGAUGCAAAAAAAAAAAAAUAAAUUGGUUUGGAUCAACAAAAAAUACGUUUCUUCUCGCCACAGUGAAACACUGACCAAUUUCCCAUUUGACUCAACCAUCUGUUCUGCAAGCAUCUGACACUACAUGGAGCCAAAGGAAACUAAAGGAAACCAGGAGGAAGUCCUGCUUGUCAGGGGCUCCAUGGAUGUGCAGAGACCAGAGGGAGCUCCAAAGCUGGGCACUGACAGAGCAAGGGUGGGGUCAGAGCCAGAAUUGCUCAUGUGCUGAAGCUGCCUCUCUGCCUGCAUCCCAGCUCACUGUGUCUGAUCCCAGAGGGGCAAGAAACCCGGCUGUGGACAAGAGCAAAUUGCAGCCACCUCCAUCUCCAUCAGCUUGGUGUAGGAGGGAGGUUUGGCAGGGUGGGCUGUGGCAGUACUGAAGCACAGAUAAUGCCUCGGCAGCUUUUUGGGUCUUUCAAGCGGUUUUGGUUUUAUCCAAGCAGAGUGAAAGAUGAAAAUGAACUCUAAGGACCACUUC